AGAUUGAACGCUGGCGGCAGGCCUAACACAUGCAAGUCGAGCGGUAGAGAGGUGCUUGCAUCUCUUGAGAGCGGCGGACGGGUGAGUAAUGCCUAGGAAUCUGCCUAGUGGUGGGGGAUAACGUUCGGAAACGGACGCUAAUACCGCAUACGUCCUACGGGAGAAAGCGGGGGACCUUCGGGCCUCGCGCCAUUAGAUGAGCCUAGGUCGGAUUAGCUAGUUGGUGAGGUAAUGGCUCACCAAGGCGACGAUCCGUAACUGGUCUGAGAGGAUGAUCAGUCACACUGGAACUGAGACACGGUCCAGACUCCUACGGGAGGCAGCAGUGGGAAUUUUGGACAAUGGGGGAAACCCUGAUCCAGCCAUCCCGCGUGUGCGAUGAAGGCCUUCGGUGUAAAGCACUUUUGGCUAGGAAGUAAACGGCGUGCCCUAAUACGGACGUCACUGACGGUACCUGCAGAAUAAGCACCGGCUAACUACGUGCCAGCAGCCGCGUAACG
rnacentral:rRNA from 1 species